rnacentral:lncRNA from 1 species
UUUUGAUCUGGGGACUGCAGAGCUGUGGGUGGUGUUAACUGUGGCCUCCUUGUAGAUCAGAGACAAACCAGGAAGAACUUCUAGAAGAGUGAGAAGCUAAACUAUACUGUUACCAAAUUAAUGUGCUUUUCUUGCUUAAGUCACUGCAAGGUUCAUCAUAGUCUCCAGUGGAGUCAGAAUUUCCUCUCCAGUACUUAAAAUUCUACCAGGUUAACAGAAAAAGACACAAAAAAUUACUUGCUGUUCAUUUUUGGAGACUAGAUAUAUUUAUAUGUGUAGUUGGUGUACUCCACUUAGCCACAUCCCAGCUCCAUGUUGUAGAAUACUCAACAUUCUUUAAGUUUUCCACUCCUAGGUGCCUUGACUUCUACUAGCUGGGAAUCUUGGCAUAUGUAAUGGAUAGAAAUCCUGGUCUGUGCUGAGCUUGUCUCUAGCCUGGAUGAUCACAGGAUACCCGAGAACAUCAUGGCACAUAUCCACACAUCACUUCAGAUGCAGCCCAAGAAAGUCUCUGUCUUCAGAAUGAAAGAGGUCCAGCAUGAAAAGGAAAGAGGGGAAAGAGAAGGAGAAACAAUUGGCCUGUCAGGGCUUCUGCUUCCUGCUCCUUAAUUUAUGUACAGAAAAUGAAAUGUUAACCGACUAUGAAAAUGUAUGCUGAAGCUAAAUAUUGGGUGCAGGGUGUACAGAUGAUAUUUAAGUAAUUACUUCCUGGAAGACCAGUUUUUUUUAGUAAGUAUACAUGCUUAAAUGUGAAAGUUAAUUCCUCAGCAUUGUACAUUUUAAUGCAUGGUGACCUUCCUUGAAACUCCCAAAGAAGCUCUAGAUAACUUUUUUAGGUACACAUUUCCCCAGCUUCAAUAUUCAACAUGGAC